GUGAGAUCUACUGGAGCUCACUGAAGUUGGAAGUGGGAGAUUUCAACUCGGAUGUUUCCCUUUUCUGACGUUCUCUGGAACGCUGCAGAAGUAGGCUACCACCCUGCGGGUCAUUUUUGAUUGGUCAGCGCGGUCUGCAGGUUUUAUACAAGAGGAAGGAACUAUCGGUAGAAAUAGAGUGCGCUGUUGUUGCACAGGGAUACUUGAGGGUUACUAGGCUCCGUCUCUUCUUCAGUAGGCUAUACGAGAUGAAAGGGAUUUUAAAAUAUCUCGUUGGAAUCAUUCUGUUUGUGUACUCGAACAUCAAACUGACAUUAGGAGCAUCUGUUGUCUUGCAAUGCAAUGGGACGAGACAGAACGAUGGACAGUUCCUCUUUGUCAUUUUGUAUAACAUUAAAGAGUACUUCAGUGACUGCGAGAAACAAUGGCUUGUCAAUGGAACUCUGACAGGUCUUUUUGAGGAAGGAAAUCCAUCUUUCAUCUCUCCUAUUACAAACCUGACCGCAAGCACUGCCACUCUGCAGGCCUGUCCUGAAAAUCUUGAGUGUCUGCUCUCCUGCCCCACUGGCAAAAUCAAUGAAAAGCAACUGUGCUCUUGUGAUAUCAGCACUCCGACUUCACUUUCUGAAGUGGGUUAUCUUGACUGGAGCGUUGGUAUUUGGACUGGAGUGAGUGUGUCUGUGGUUCUGUUGGUGUCUGUGAUUAUCGCCAUUGUACUUUAUAAGAUUAAACAAAGGUCAAGAUUUGGCCCUAGUGUUCCAGUUCCUGCUGAACAGAUUGUUUUAUUCUGGUAUGUACUGUAGCAUCAGUAGUCAGUGUGUAUGAAUGAUCCAAAUCAUUACCUUUAAUCUUAUAUUUUUAAAUAUACAUUAUAUUUGGUAGUCAACUACAGUAUAAAACAACAGCUUCUAAAAAGCUUUCACCUUUUUUUUGACCACAGAAGAUGUUCCAUCAUCACACCUGGACCUUUUAUCUUCAGUUAUUCAUUCCUUGUACUCCAGAAGUAAUCUUUUUAUAAUUUCCAUCAUUUAUGUAGCAUUAGCUCUAUUAUUCUGUGUGUGUUGGCUACAUUUAGCAUCUCAGUGCUUUAUAGCUUGUAGGAAUUUGUUCAUCUUUUAAAAUAAAUUAUGACACUAACCGUAAAUGAAGUUACA
ensembl:lncRNA